rnacentral:rRNA from 1 species
AUUGAACGCUGGCGGAAUGCUUUACACAUGCAAGUCGAGCGGCAGCGCGGGGCAACCUGGCGGCGAGCGGCGAACGGGUGAGUAACACAUCGGAACGUGCCCAGACGUGGGGAUAGCCCGGCGAAAGCCGGAUUAAUACCGCAUACGAUCUAAGGAUGAAAGCGGGGGACGUCGCAAGGGCCUCGCGCGUUUGGAGCGGCCGAUGGCAGAUUAGGUAGUUGGUGGGGUAAAGGCUUACCAAGCCUGCGAUCUGUAGCUGGUCUGAGAGGAUGAUCAGCCACACUGGGACUGAGACACGGCCCAGACUCCUACGGGAGGCAGCAGUGGGGGAAUUUUGGACAAUGGGCGCAAGCCUGAUCCAGCCAUGCCGCGUGCGGGGAAGAAGGCCCUUCGGUUGUAACCGACUUUGUCUAGGGAAGAAACGACCUUAGGAGUAAU